UACGUAGGGUGCGAGCGUUAAUCGGAAUUACUGGGCGUAAAGCGUGCGCAGGCGGUGAUGUAAGACCGAUGUGAAAUCCCCGGGCUUAACCUGGGAACUGCAUUGGUGACUGCAUUGCUGGAGUAUGGCAGAGGGGGGUGGAAUUCCACGUGUAGCAGUGAAAUGCGUAGAGAUGUGGAGGAACACCGAUGGCGAAGGCAGCCCCCUGGGCCAAUACUGACGCUCAGGCACGAAAGCGUGGGGAGCAAACAGG
rnacentral:rRNA from 1 species